AAGGGACGCUGUGACGUUUUCACAAACCGCUAUCCCGGAUUCGCCGCCACAUCCCGGUACUCUUUUCUCCGCCGCCCUUGAAAGAGAACGUCCUAUGUGAAAGAUAGCACUAGUUGGUCCCUGGAGACUGCUGUCUGGUUGGAGAGUCACCUGCUCCCCUCCAUGGAGACAGACCAGCAUGAUCAACAGUCGGCUGGAGGGAGUUGGUGGUUACGGUUACAGAAGUCAUCAAAAGAGAGCGCCUGGGGAAUAGGAGUGGAGCUAGGCACUGCAGGUCCUGGAUUAACCUCUACAUCACCAGAGGAACAGAGGAGGAGUUGGUGGUUGACCCAUCAGAGGAGUUGUAUUUAUGGAUGGCUACAGGUCAUGACCUUUCCCAUCUUCUACGUCUGGGUUCUCUUCAUCUGCAUAUGCUUACAUCAAAUGUAGCCUAUGGCUGGCCGGUUAUCCAUUUCAAGGGGUUCGCUUCGUGUCAAUGUACUGUUUCUCUGUUUCUCUGUUCUUCUUCUGUUGUUUAUUUUUUUGUGUUUUUCCUCUUUGUGUAAAAUAUGUUGAGACCUUGUACACAUGAAAUAAAUUGUGAUUUGAUUGGAAAGAUAAUAAAGAGAAGAAUAAAUAGA